rnacentral:rRNA from 1 species
UACAGAGGGGGCAAGCGUUGUUCGGAAUUACUGGGCGUAAAGGGCGCGUAGGCGGCCUGUUAAGUCGAACGUGAAAUCCCCGGGCUCAACCCGGGAACUGCGUCCGAUACUGGCAGGCUUGAAUUCGGGAGGGGGAUGUGGAAUUCCAGGUGUAGCGGUGAAAUGCGUAGAUAUCGAGAGGAACACCAGUGGCGAAGGCGACUACCUGGCCCAUUCUUGACGCUGAGGCGCGAAAGCUAGGGGAGCGAACGGG